AAUCGUGGAUUGUAAAUUUAACCCCAUGGGCCUAGGGAAGGCCCUAUAACAAUACUUUCGACACAGUUAUUAUCUCCGCUGCCUCCACCAUGUUACACACAGUGCUCACUGCUGAUUCUAAAAUGCGCCACCUAGUCAAAACAGGACAUAUGUUCUUCUAGGAAUACUAGAUCUCUUUCCAAUAUUUCGUCAUUCCACUAUCGUCAUCACCUCAUCAUACUUUCAUUGACAUUACAGGCACACAUCCACAGAGCACUCUUCAAAUCAUCUACACAGUGGUUAUCCAACUAGGAUUAUAAAGGCACACAUUGACAUAGACCAUUGUUGCAAUCAACGACACAGUCGCUAUCCAAGUAGCAUUAUAGAGCUGUCAUGCAACGCAACAACUGUGCUAUCUGCCAUCGCACAUCAACGAAGAAGUGCAGCCGCCCACAUUCCACCUCACGUCUGUCCGACCAGCUGCAAUCCUCGAGGACGCCCCACUGUACCACGAUUUCACUACGAUGUUUGACA